GCUGCAGAAACCCAACGAAAAAAUCGGUGUAUUAAACAAUUUGAAAAACAUCGAUGCAUCGAUUUUACCAUCGAUGUUUCUCCACCUCUAACUAUAACCAACACACAAAUAAAAAAGUUAUCAGCACAAAGUGUUAACAAUUGCAAUUACAAUAGCAACGGCAGCAAGCAGCCGCAACAAAUAGGCAUUAAUUAAUUGAAAUCACGGACCACAGCCAGAGCAACAUCAGUUUUAUAUACUAUCAAUAAUAACACGAUAACGCAAGUUUUGCCAGCUCAAGGAAGCAAAAAAAAGUUGCCACACGGGCGAGAAUACAACAACACGUAAAGAAAAGAAAGGAGAAACAAAAGAUAAACAAGAGCAGUGGGCAAAAUGAGUGCGCUAGCGUCAGCGCACAUAUUAAAUAUUAAAUCAAUAUUUGUGGCACUAAUCGCAGCCCUGCUAACGGCACCCCAUGUCGUCCUGUCGCGCAAACAUCACGUGGAAGUGCGCAAUGAUAUGCGACCGUAUAUUGCGCUGAGCACAUUUGGUUUCUACACAAACGGACAUUUGGACGUCCAGCUGAGUCGCUUGAGAAUUGCCGACGAUCAGUCAACGUCGGGUUUGUUUGGGCUGUCGCUGGACAAAACAACCAUUGAUCAGUUGAAUCCGUAUCUGGACUCGCAUCAAACCAAAUGCAUUUUGGAGGAGCCACCUAACAAUCAGAACAGCGGUCCCAUACUUUUCUUUGUGCUCGAUCUCAUAGAGUUGAAGGUGCGGGUUCAUUGCUCCCCAGAGUGGGUCAACAUGCAUGUCUACAAAAAUGUCGCGUAUCGCCGCAAACGCAACUCGCAUGUGGGCAAGGUUAGCGACACUGCACUCUUUACGCAGCCGCGUGUGCGACGCGCUGUCAUGCCCAUUGAUUCCGAGGAGGCGGUAGAUGAUCUUGAUGAUAAUUCGGAGGAGAAACCUUUUAAGCCCGACGAAGAGCAAUCACCACAGAAACUGUCUUCACCUAUUGUAGCGGGCAAGAUUGAGGGCGCUGCCAAGCUGAAGUCAGAGGAGCCCACACCAUCAAUUGCGCUGGCGCCGAAGGAUGUGGUAAAGGAUGCGCCAAUACAGCCAAAGGCAUCAUCAUCGCCAGCCACAGCUGAUGCAGUUCCCGCUGCCGCUUUGCCGCCUGCGGCCAUAGCCAGCGGUGUGCUAGCAGCGGACUCUGAAGUGGCUGCUGAAGUUGCUCCGGCGCCGCCAGCAUCGAUUGCUGCAGCUGCCACGUCAAGUAACAGCAACAGCAAUAGCAAUAGCAAGCUUAGCAACGACGCUGAGGUGGAGCCGGCACUGCCCGUGGAUAAUUCACCGGGAUCCGCGUCGAAUUUCUACGAGUCGAACUCGUAUCGCCAAUCCCAGAACGAUUUGUGCAAUAAUUUCAGUCUGCCGCUGGUUAAGCUAACCGAGGACAACAUCAACUAUUAUAGCUUUAACUUUUCCAUGUUUGUGGCAACGCCGCAUGACGAGGGCUUGUACAAUUUGUAUUUCCACGCUUGUCCCAACUACGACAAUCCGAAGAAGCUCUCGUUCAAUGUGGACAUUGAGGAGAACAAUAAUGGCAAUUAUUUGUCGGCUGGCGAGAUGCCUCUACCGGCUUUAUACUUUAUGAUGAGUCUGCUUUUCUUUUUGUCGGGUCUCUUCUGGGUCUUCAUACUGAAGAAGAGCAAGCACACCGUUUAUAAGAUACAUUAUUUGAUGGCUGUGCUGGUUUUCCUCAAGUCGUUGUCAUUGAUGUUCCAUUCCAUAAACUAUCAUUUCAUUGAGAAGCGCGGCGAGCAUGUGGAAACCUGGGCCAUACUCUACUACAUUGCCCACUUGCUUAAGGGCGCCGUCUUGUUCAUAACCAUUGUGCUCAUUGGCACUGGCUGGACAUUCAUUAAACACAUACUCUCCGACAAGGACAAGAAGAUCUUUAUGAUUGUCAUUCCCCUGCAGGUGCUGGCGAAUGUGGCACAAAUCAUAACGGAUGAGUCGGAUCAGAGCGAUGCCGAGUUUCGCACCUGGUACAAGAUUUUCUUCUUUGUGGAUCUGCUGUGCUGCUUUGCCAUACUGCUGCCCAUUGUUUGGUCCAUACGGCAUCUGCAUGAAGCAUCCGCCACCGAUGGCAAGGCUGCCAUCAAUCUGCGCAAACUAAAGCUAUUCCGGCAAUUCUAUUUGAUGAUCAUCUGUUACAUUUACUUCACCCGCAUCAUUGUGUAUUUGCUGCAGAUGACCGUCGUCUUUCAGUAUGCCUGGCUCGAUGAGAUGUUCAGAGAGUGGGCGACAUAUGUGUUCUUUGUGCUCACCGGCUACAAAUUCCGUCCCGUAUCAUCGCAUCCAUAUUUCACCGUUCCCGAUGAGGAUGACGAUGAUGAGGUGGAAGUCUUAACCGAAUCGGGACUCACCGAGACGGUGCAUCGUGUGAAGCCAUUGAAUCGAUCGGCGCAUUCCAAUACAAUUACAAUUAUCGAGGGCAACGAUGAUGAGCGUGAGAAUCUGUUGAUUGCGAAACGAGAGUCGAGUCAUGAGUACGAUUAAACAAGAGAAAUCACUCGAAUCGCGUGCACACAUAAAACUACAUACACCACAUAAAGAUAAACCGAUAAAGAUGCAAAUGCAGAUGCAGAUACAUUUACAGAUGCCGAUGCAGAUACAACUACAGAUACAGAUACAGAUAUAUAUAUAUACGCACUUAAUUGCAAUCGUACUUUAAGAUAGAUGGCAAUGGAGAGAUGCUGAGUUUUUUUUUGGUUAGUUGGCUGUCCGACGAUGAUAAUGACGACCACGAUGAUGAUGUUUAGUUACUAGAUAAUCCCGCUGCAUCCCUAGAUGAGAGAAAGAGAGAGAGAGCCCGUCCAACACUAUACAAGACGUGUGCCACUCAACUUGGGCAUCAGUUGCACCGUAAAAAUCAUGUAUGUACAAAUCGCGGUGACACUCUACGAUUGGAGAAAUAGAGAGAGAAAGAUUAACUGCUGUCCAGAUGGUGGAAGAUUACAUUGACCACUCACGCGUGUCAACAGAUAGCUGUCGAGAACGGUGAUGCCCAGGCAAUCGAUGCGUACACCCUGAUGGAGCAACUGCAGCGAAAAGUUCUGGAUCUGCAGCGAAAGAGCUGGCGACGUGAUCACUAUGCUGUGCAGCUGAUGGGCAAUGCGAGGCAUGAGUUGCAUGCAGCUCUGCGAGACGUAAAUAAAUGCUGGAAUCUCCAGCACAGCCGGCAGCAGUAGAUAAUAGUCUUAAGCGAAAGAGGAAUAGAUAAGAUAGUUGCCCAAUCAGAUGAUUCACUUACCAAUAAUGUUGAUCUUGUUGUAGAGCGUGUAGUACAUAAAAUAGCAAUCGACAGCGAUACGCACAUAGAUCAUCAACAGGACGGUGAGCA